rnacentral:tRNA from 3 species
UUUCCUCUUACUAUAAAUUUCAUUGUUGCCGGUAAUGACAUGUAGAAUAGGACUCUAUCUUUAUUCUCGU